CAUCAUAAAACUUUGUUAGUUAGAAGUACCUAAUAGUGUUUAUGAUUGAUUUUUGCUUCAAACAAGAAUACAAUUUGACAUUAUGCUGUAUUUCUGUGGUUUCAUGGGAAAAGAAAUGUAAAAACAUUAUUUCAAGGAUUUUACAGAUGAACCAACACAUCAUAGAGUAAGGAGUAAAGUGGUAUUAGACAUUAUUGUAGACAACUUGACAUAGAGUAAAGAAUAAAUAUAAACAAUCCUAGGUAUAUAAUUAGGUACCUACAGAACUACAGGAAAAGGUUAUUUCGUAUAAAAAAAGUAAUAGACGAGUUUUCUUAUUCAAAAUGUUCCGCUUACCACUUGGCGAAAGGGUUGAUCCCUUAGAAGAAAAACGUCAAGCAAGGGAAAAUACAAUCAACAGCGUUCUGACAUUUUGUGUGCUUUGUGCUGCUAUAAGACUCGCGCCAGUUAUCAUCGAAUAUAGUGGAUUUUAGUUUAAGAAGAACUGCCGUGUAGUGUAAUACUAAUUUAUUGUUUUUAAUUAUAAAAUGUCAUCUGCUGGUUGUUUAGUUGCAAACUUCAGAAUGUGAAAGUGCUUAUGAGAACUUCAAGAAUAAAAUGAAUGCUAACUGAAAAUGUAAAUAAAUAAUUUCUAUUGUAAAUGUAGUUUAACUUUGAAUUAUAGUUAUAUAGUAUGGAUCUUGAGCGCUGACCUUCAAUCUCGCAAAAAAAAAUAAUGAGUCCCUUUGAUGUUAAGAAAUGGCCAGUUCUUAUUAGCCAGCCUUAACAUUUGGAUGAGUGUCUGUAGGAAUGGAAAAAAAGAAAAAAAUAAUAAUUAAAAGCAAAUGCUUUCUAAGGGACAAUAUUAGUUUUCAAAAAUACAUACAAGUAUAGUUUCUAAAAAUUAGGAAAAAAUAUUUAAUUCCUAAGAAUAUCUUCUUUAUUUAUAAAUAAGUUGUUACGAAACUAAUCGGAAUUUUUAUUUUUGUACAAAAUGAAGAACAUUAGUUUUGUAUAGUAUCAAGGAAGACUGCACUAUUUCAAUUAAAAAACAAUCUGCUGCAAAA
rnacentral:misc_RNA from 1 species